GCGCCCGUAGCUCAGCGGAUAGAGCACUAGUCUUCGGAACUAGGUGUCGGGGGUUCGAAUCCCUCCGGGCGUA
rnacentral:tRNA from 1 species